rnacentral:rRNA from 1 species
CCUACGGGAGGCAGCAGUGGGGAAUAUUGGACAAUGGGGGCAACCCUGAUCCAGCCAUGCCGCGUGUGUGAAGAAGGCCCUCGGGUUGUAAAGCACUUUCAGUGAGGAAGAACGCCUGGUGGUUAAUACCCAUCAGGAAAGACAUCACUCACAGAAGAAGCAUCGGCUAACUCCGUGCCAGCAGCCGCGGUAAUACGGAGGGUGCGAGCGUUAAUCGGAAUUACUGGGCGUAAAGCGCGCGUAGGUGGCUUGAUAAGCCGGUUGUGAAAGCCCCGGGCUCAACCUGGGAACGGCAUCCGGAACUGUCAAGCUAGAGUGCAGGAGAGGAAGGUAGAAUUCCCGGUGUAGCGGUGAAAUGCGUAGAGAUCGGGAGGAAUACCAGUGGCGAAGGCGGCCUUCUGGACUGACACUGACACUGAGGUGCGAAAGCGUGGGUAGCAAACAGGAUUAGAUACCCCUGUAGUC